UCCCAAGGCUAAAUACUACCUGAUGACCGAUAGUGAAGCAGUACCGUGAGGGAAAGGUGAAAAGAACCCCGGGAGGGGAGUGAAAUAGAACCUGAAACCAUGUGCCUACAACCGAUCAAAGCACCUUAUGUGUGUGAUGAUGUGCUUUUUGUAGAACGAGCCAACGAGUUACGGUAUGUAGCGAGGUUAAGUACUUAAGGUACGGAGCCGAAGGGAAACCGAGUCUUAAUAGGGCGACUAGUUGCAUGCUGUAGACCCGAAACCGGGUGACCUAUCCAUGGCCAGGUUGAAGCGAGGGUAAAACCUCGUGGAGGACCGAACCACGUUGCUGUUGAAAAAGCAUGGGAUGAGCUGUGGAUAGCGGAGAAAUUCCAAUCGAACUCGGAUAUAGCUGGUUCUCCUCGAAAUAGCUUUAGGGCUAGCGUCGUGAAAUGUGAGUACUGGAGGUAGAGCACUGAAUAGGCUAGGGGGCAUAGCGCUUACCGAACCUUAUCAAACUCCGAAUGCCAGAUACUAUCAGCACGGCAGUCAGACUAUGAAAGAUAAGUUCCAUGGUCAAAAGGGAAACAGCCCAGAUCGUCAGCUAAGGUCCCAAAGUGUAAGUUAAGUGGAAAAGGAUGUGGGAUUUCUAAGACAACUAGGAUGUUGGCUUACGGGUUCAUACUUUGUAUGAGCGGUAGAGGAGCGUCGUAAUCGGGCUGAAGUCGUACCGUAAGGAGCGGUGGACUGAUUACGAGUGAGAAUGUUGGCAUUAGUAGCGAGAUGUAGGUGAGAAUCCUACAGGCCGAAUAUCUAAGGUUUCCUGAGUAAAGUUUGUCUUCUCAGGGUUAGUCGGGACCUAAGGCGAGGCCGAGAGGCGUAGUCGAUGGACAAUUGGUUGAUAUUCCAAUACCACUAUAAUCGUUAUUAUCGAUGGUGUGACGGAGAAGGAUAGGAUGUGCCAGCUAUUGGAUGCUGGUCUAAGCGUUGAGGGAGUUAGAACAGGCAAAUCCGUUCUAACAAUCCUAGGGCGUGAUGGGGAAGGUUCUACGGAACCGAAGUAUCUGAUUUCAUGCUUCCAAGAAAAGCAUCUAGAAAGAGAAGUAGUGCCCGUACCGCAAACCGACACAGGUAGAUGAGGAGAGAAUCCUAAGGCCGACGGAAGAAUCACAGUUAAGGAACUAGGCAAAUUGACCCCGUAACUUCGGGAGAAGGGGUGCCUACCAUUUGGUAGGCCGCAGAGAAUAGGCACAAGCAACUGUUUAACAAAAACACAGGUCUCUGCUAAAGCGUAAGCUGAUGUAUAGGGGCUGACGCCUGCCCGGUGCUGGAAGGUUAAGGGGAACACUUAGCGCAAGCGAAGGUGUGAACUUAAGCCCCAGUAAACGGCGG
rnacentral:rRNA from 1 species